rnacentral:rRNA from 1 species
AGAGUUUGAUCCUGGCUCAGGACGAACGCUGGCGGCGUGCCUAAUACAUGCAAGUAGAACGCUGAAGGGAGGAGCUUGCUCUUCUUGGAUGAGUUGCGAACGGGUGAGUAACGCGUAGGUAACCUGCCUUGUAGCGGGGGAUAACUAUUGGAAACGAUAGCUAAUACCGCAUAACAAUGGAUGACACAUGUCAUUUAUUUGAAAGGGGCAAUUGUUCCACUACAAGAUGGACCUGCGUUGUAUUAGCUAGUAGGUGAGGUAAUGGCUCACCUAGGCGACGAUACAUAGCCGACCUGAGAGGGUGAUCGGCCACACUGGGACUGAGACACGGCCCAGACUCCUACGGGAGGCAGCAGUAGGGAAUCUUCGGCAAUGGGGGCAACCCUGACCGAGCAACGCCGCGUGAGUGAAGAAGGUUUUCGGAUCGUAAAGCUCUGUUGUAAGUCAAGAACGGGUGUGAGAGUGGAAAGUUCACACUGUGACGGUAGCUUACCAGAAAGGGACGGCUAACUACGUGCCAGCAGCCGCGGUAAUACGUAGGUCCCGAGCGUUGUCCGGAUUUAUUGGGCGUAAAGCGAGCGCAGGCGGUUUGAUAAGUCUGAAGUUAAAGGCUGUGGCUCAACCAUAGUUCGCUUUGGAAACUGUCAAACUUGAGUGCAGAAGGGGAGAGUGGAAUUCCAUGUGUAGCGGUGAAAUGCGUAGAUAUAUGGAGGAACACCGGUGGCGAAAGCGGCUCUCUGGUCUGUAACUGACGCUGAGGCUCGAAAGCGUGGGGAGCGAACAGGAUUAGAUACCCUGGUAGUCCACGCCGUAAACGAUGAGUGCUAGGUGUUGGAUCCUUUCCGGGAUUCAGUGCCGCAGCUAACGCAUUAAGCACUCCGCCUGGGGAGUACGACCGCAAGGUUGAAACUCAAAGGAAUUGACGGGGGCCCGCACAAGCGGUGGAGCAUGUGGUUUAAUUCGAAGCAACGCGAAGAACCUUACCAGGUCUUGACAUCCCGAUGCUAUUUCUAGAGAUAGAAAGUUACUUCGGUACAUCGGUGACAGGUGGUGCAUGGUUGUCGUCAGCUCGUGUCGUGAGAUGUUGGGUUAAGUCCCGCAACGAGCGCAACCCCUAUUGUUAGUUGCCAUCAUUCAGUUGGGCACUCUAGCGAGACUGCCGGUAAUAAACCGGAGGAAGGUGGGGAUGACGUCAAAUCAUCAUGCCCCUUAUGACCUGGGCUACACACGUGCUACAAUGGUUGGUACAACGAGUUGCGAGUCGGUGACGGCGAGCUAAUCUCUUAAAGCCAAUCUCAGUUCGGAUUGUAGGCUGCAACUCGCCUACAUGAAGUCGGAAUCGCUAGUAAUCGCGGAUCAGCACGCCGCGGUGAAUACGUUCCCGGGCCUUGUACACACCGCCCGUCACACCACGAGAGUUUGUAAAACCCGAAGUCGGUGAGGUAACCUUUUGGAGCCAGCCGCCUAAGGUGGGACAGAUGAUUGGGGUGAAGUCGUAACAAGGUA